UGGAAAAAGAAAUUUUUCAGCGCUGCUGCUGGACUAAAUCACCAAGUGCUGGCAGGCUGCCGGGGUUGUGUUGCUGGGCAGAUCAUCAGGUGUUGGCCAGUCACUGAGGGCUGCUCACACAGUAAAAAUCUUUGGUGGCUAGCUUCUUUGCUAAUGGAUUACACAGUGAACUGCGUGAAUCUGUUACACGUCUGUGAAUACUGUUUCCCUAGAUUGCAACACCAGCCCAAUUCUUUGCUCUGCUGAAGUCAUCCUAAGAGUUUACUUUACAUCGGCCUCAGGAAUGCCUUGUCAGCUCUUACUCCAUCAUCACAGCCUUGCAGAGAGGGGUGGAUGGCUGCAUCUGGGAGUCCAUCUAAAGUCGAACAGCCCACCACCUCAUCUUUCACCAGAGUCAGCAGGGAGCACAGGAUGUAAUUGUUGUGCAUUCUCUGAAUGGCAGCCCCCAAGAAUUCCCCCCAAGAUGAUCCAGUGGAGACCAAUGUGUGUUAGGAAGAGAAUACUUACUACAGAUCUUAGGAAGACCCACCUGACAGGAAUGAUGAUGAGAAGUCUCAACUGUGUCCACUAGAAACAAGAACAAAUGAUGAAAAGGAGUGGACGACAUGAACUUCCAUGACUAACAACUGCGCUAUCUGCACAGAUUUCUGCUACUUGAGCGAAUAGAGUGCCACUGCCAGCCACGGGUUGUCAUCCUCUGAGCAAAGCACUCCCAGAAGAGGAUUGCCGACGGUCAUUGGUGAGAAACACAAACUGAGGUUUUGCUUGUUGGCUGAGGUGACAAAAAAACUUUCUUGAGAUAUUAAACUACGUCCUUUGGAGAGCUACCAAGGCACUGUUAAUAAACAGCUUCCAAAAAGCUGUGUUAGAGACAGUAGGAUGUUGCUGCAAUUUCCAUGUGUCUGUGUGACCAACAGACAAUAUGCUGUCCUGCAAUGAAUUUGCUAUUCAGUGCCAGCACCAGAGAGAGAGAGGCUGAGUUCCCUUCCCCUGUAGCUCUUGUGCCCAUGCUGCCUGCCUCUCCAGGGAAUGACUGGACUCCAACAACAGGUCUGCCAGAAGUUCCAGCCCAUGUCAGUGAACUGAAUAACUCUCUCUUCUGAAAUAAAAAAUCCAAUACUUUUUGUUUCUUACUGUGUCUUUAAGCCUGUUAAACAAUGGUAUUUUCCUCACAUAGACUUUUAACAGGAAACCAAAACUGGAUUUUUUUUAAAAAAUAAAAGCUUUACUUUUCUUCAUUCUGAAUAUUUUUAUUCCUUUUCCCUCCCUUAUUUUUUUCUAUCUUUAAUAAAGGGUUUAAAAGAUUUGGUGUGGCUUAUGUUGCCACAGGAAUAAACAAGCAUUUGAAAUCUUGAACUCUGUCCAAAACUUGUUUAGCAAUAUAGUUUUGUUACAGUGACACAGUACCUUUAAUUCAUUUGACCCUCUGGAUCUGUUUAUUCUACUGAAAUUUGACUCAACAAAGUUAUCAUUCUUAUAUCAUUCUGCAAGACAACUCAUUUUAUGUUUGGAUACAAACAGCCAAAGCUGCACAAUCAACUUCCCCCCAACAUGCCAGUUUGCACUAGUGUGGCUGAAUGGAAAAAGAAAUUGUGGUGGCUUUAUAGAAACGCACCUAAUUUCUAUGGGAUGCUCAGUGAAUAUCAGAACAAUAGAUGGUGUAUUAACUACUAUGUCUGCUCUUUUUCCUUGGCAUAAGUAAUAUUUUUAUGUAAGGGGAUGGCAGUCUACUCUCGUUAUAUUAAGUAAAAUUCUUCAAUGGAUACCAUGAAGUAAUAAUUUUUUUUUUUUGCUUAUUUUUACUUGGUCUUUAGGAAACUGUUCUGUAAUAACAAGCUCUGGAACAAAAUCUAAAAAACAGGGCAUUUUUUGUGUUUGAAAUGUCUCUCCAUAUGAUUGCAAAUAAUAAAAUUAUGGAAAUAUCUUAUUCUCCAGUUACUCUAUAUCAUCCAAUCAGCAUGGUUUACUCUUCUCUCUUGCUAUAUACUUUUGUGUGCAGAUUUUAUUGUGUCUCUGUUUUGUUUUUAAUAUUUAUAUGUAUUUAUUAACAAGCAAAACAGAGAGCAACCAGUUUUUUAAGGAUGUACUGGAGUGAACCACGACAGGCAACUUAUAUUUAUUUCCAUGUUCAGGCUAUGGAAGGCUAGCAAGGGAUACCUCUUUGCACCUAAAUAUUUUAAGUCCAUUGGAAAAGAAUUACAGGUUGGUCAAAUAAGGUUUUUCUUCUCUUUUUUUUUUUCCCUUUCACCCCCAUUUUGUGUUAAGCAUUAGAAUCUGUUAAAAACAGCCCAUUACCUUAAGCCUUAAAGCAGUUCUUUCCCUGUUGCAGAGAAAUCUGCUUGAAACGUGUGCUGCCCUUAUGAUCUCCAGGCUCUAGCCUGGCCAAACAGAUGGAGUGUUUCUACCUGGGCUGUCACUGUGUUUUCCUCUUCUCCCCAUUGAGCUAAACCUUGCUCCCUAUGCAACCUGAGGGGAAGGACUUUUAACACAACAUAGAACAACAUCCUUGGCUGAGCAGGUUACAGAGAGAGCCCAAAAGCUCUCGGUACUUUUCAGUUCCAAUAUACCAGCUCUCAUGGAACCCAAAGCGUAGGUGUGCAUCUGCCUUGUUUCUUUCCACUGCUUGAUUACAGCAUUUCCAGCCUCUGCCAAGAUGGUGAUGGCCACAGGACUGCAGCCUGAAGAGGGAAGGACUGAAAUCCUGCUUUCACCAAGACCAACGCAUACAUGAGAGGCAAUCGCCGGUUGCUUAACAGAAAUAAAAAAGAAUGCACUUUUCGUCCUGGACUGUUCUUUGUAAUUUAAUGUGAUCUGCUGUCAACAAGAGGCAAAAUAAACCUCUGACACUCACUAAAGUUUCACACUAGAGAAGUGAAAAGAUAUCACCCGGGACUUCCUUUCCAUGUACAUUCACCUACUACCAUCACUACUGAUGCUGAUACUGGCUCACCGGGAUCAUCAUUUGCAACAGAGCAUCUGCUUGGUUCCUUCUCAGGUGAUCUUUGUAUUGCUAUUUUCCUGUGUUGACACCUAUUGGAGAAACGGUUUAUACUAGUUUUAGAAACCAUCUCAUUUGAUGAUCUUAUGACUUGCUAUUAUCCCUCACAAAUGUGUUACGUACUGUAUUUCCACAGUUUCCAUCUAUUAAAACUAAUCAAACAUGCUUCAGUUACUGCCUGUUUCCCCACAUACCCUUUCUAAUGGUGUUUUUGAUACUUUUUUGCCUUAGAGAACCUGUAGCAUCCUUCUUAGCUUUAAUUCUGGAAUAUUUGCAUGUUCUCAGCAUGUUAGCUCCUGUCACAAGGAAUUGUUAGUACAUGAUCAUAAGGUGUUGGAUAUCCCAACCAGUGUGUGUGGGAUCAGAGAAGAGAGGACAACAGGGUGCUAUCCUAUCACUUGGUAAAUCUUAGCAAAGGGAGAGAGGCAGCUGGGCUGAGAGGAAGAAGGUGUGCUUCAGGAGACUCUUUCUGGUGGUGUUUUUUCCCUACAUGUAGGUAGAUCAAGGGUUGAGAAUGCAUGGCAUGUCUCCUCCAUUGAUAUUCUUAAGCAGGGAAUGACAUUUAUCUCUUUGCAAUUCCUCAUUGUAAAGCUAAAUCUGCUCCCCCACCCUAAAACAACCUGUAGUAUUGUUCUCCUGUUAUCAUGAUAAAUUAUGGAUGUGAGACAUGCUGAAUCAUGACAAUGCUCCUUGUGCUGAAGAAAUUCCUCUUUUGUCAUGUACGGCUUUUUUAUAGUCCUAUUUAUUGUGGGACCUAUGUUAGAGUCUUGAUGGGAUUGCAAGGAAGCAGGAAGUGCACUAGCUGCUCUGGGAUUUUAAGCACAGAUAUCUGGAAUAUUCUGAGGAGUUUGUAUCAGUUUAUGAUUGACCAGCAACCAAUGUGUAAGCAGUGCUUUGUGUCUGCAUGCAUACUUCAUAAAUCACAGAAUCGGUUUGGGUUGGAAGGGACGU